AAAAAUGUAACCCUCUACUUUAUUGGUUUUUAACAGGUCCUGUGGAAAAGCACCAAAAGCGAAAAUGUUUAAGAGAAGCAUGGAAACAUCUAAGAUAAAAAAAAUAAGAAAAACUUCUUGGAGACUUUUGCAAGAAAAAGUUACAGUUAUCUCUUGAAGCAGAAAACACAAACUGCCGAAUGGCAACACCUCAUUGUGAAAAAGUAAAAGACGCACGAGAUCGUGUUCGAUAGAUUUUUAAUGGAAAUUGAGCGCCGACUUCUUGAGCUGUAACAACAUGAUGU